CCUACGGGUGGCAGCAGUGAGGAAUAUUGGUCAAUGGCCGGAAGGCUGAACCAGCCAUGCCGCGUGAAGGUCAGUGCCCUAUGGGCGUUAAACUUCUUUUGUGCGGGAGCAACAAUGGCCACGUGUGGCCAGACGAGAGUACCGUACGCAUAAGCAUCGGCUAACUCAGUGCCAGCAGCAGCGGUAAUACGGGGGAGGCAAGCGUUAUCCGGAUUUAAUGGGUUUAAAGGGUACGUAGGCUGUGAGGUAAGUCAGCGGGGAAAUGCCCCGCCUCAACGGGGGGAAGUGCCAUUGAUACUGCCUUGCUGGAAUGCGGAUGCCGAGGGAGGAAUGUGUGGUGGAGCGGUGAAAUGCAUAGAUAUCA
rnacentral:rRNA from 1 species